GGCCUGCUGCCCCCCGGGGGGCCCUGCCACCCCAGUGUUCAGACCACCUGUUCAGUAAUCUGCACGUUGGUUAGGCUGGGCUCGGACAGCGGCGCAGGGACGCGGGCAACCCCGGACCGGCUGCCACCUCCCAAGGAAUCGGUGAAUCCUGGUGCCUCCAGGAGGGGACAUGAGAAGCUGGACUCCCAGGUGGCCGGGAGGUAGCCAGGGUGGCUUCAGCAUCACGUCCCACGUGGCUCUGAUCAUCACAGGGCCUUCCGGGCUGGGAGAUCCGACCAUGGGACAGCUGCUCACCAUGAAAAUUCCACUCACCCUGGGUGGCCCCUGACCUACUCCAG